rnacentral:rRNA from 1 species
UACGUAGGGCGCAAGCGUUGUCCGGAAUUAUUGGGCGUAAAGAGCUCGUAGGUGGUUUGUCGCGUCUGUCGUGAAAGCCCCAUGGCUUAACUGUGGGUCUGCGGUGGAUACGGGCAGGCUAGAGUUCGGUAGGGGAGACUGGAAUUCCUGGUGUAGCGGUGAAAUGCGCAGAUAUCAGGAGGAACACCGGUGGCGAAGGCGGGUCUCUGGGCCGAUACUGACGCUGAGGAGCGAAAGCGUGGGGAGCGAACAGG